CAGCAGCCACGGUAAGACAGAGGAUGCAAGCGUUAUCCGGAAUGAUUGGGCGUAAAGCGUCUGUAGGUGGCUUUUCAAGUCCGCCGUCAAAUCCCAGGGCUCAACCCUGGACAGGCGGUGGAAACUACCAAGCUGGAGUACGGUAGGGGCAGAGGGAAUUUCCAGUGGAGCGGUGAAAUGCGUUGAGAUCGGAAAGAACACCAACGGCGAAAGCACUCCGCUGGGCCGACACUGACACUGAGAGACGAAAGCCAGGGGAGCAAAUGGGAUUAGAUACCCCCGUAGUCCCUGUCUCUUAUAC
rnacentral:rRNA from 1 species